rnacentral:rRNA from 1 species
UACGGGGGGGGCAAGCGUUGUUCGGAAUUACUGGGCGUAAAGGGCUCGUAGGCGGCCAACUAAGUCAGACGUGAAAUCCCUCGGCUUAACCGGGGAACUGCGUCUGAUACUGGAUGGCUUGAGUUUGGGAGAGGGAUGCGGAAUUCCAGGUGUAGCGGUGAAAUGCGCAGAUAUCAGGAGGAACACCGAUGGCGAAGGCAGCUCGCUGGGACGGUACUGACGCUGAGGCGCGAAAGCGUGGGGAGCGAACAGG